rnacentral:rRNA from 1 species
GAUGAACGCUAGCGGCAGGCCUAAUACAUGCAAGUCGAACGAUGCUUGGUAGCAAUAUCAAGCGUAGUGGCGCACGGGUGCGUAACGCGUAUGCAACCUACCCUUUACAGUGGGAUAGCCCGGGAAACUCGGAUUAAUACCGCAUAAUAUAAUUGAAUGGCAUCAUUUGAUUAUUAAAUCUACGGAGGUAAAGGAUGGGCAUGCGUCUGAUUAGCUAGNGGUGAGGUAAUGGCUCACCAAGGCGACGAUCAGUAGGGGACCUGAGAGGUGAUCCCCCACACU